rnacentral:rRNA from 1 species
UGGGGAAUAUUGGACAAUGGGCGCAAGCCUGAUCCAGCCAUGCCGCGUGUGUGAAGAAGGCCUUUCGGUUGUAAAGCACUUUAAGCGAGGAGGAGGCUACUUGGAUUAAUACUCUAAGAUAGUGGACGUUACUCGCAGAAUAAGCACCGGCUAACUCUGUGCCAGCAGCCGCGGUAAUACAGCGGGUGCGAGCGUUAAUCGGAUUUACUGGGCGUAAAGCGUGCGUAGGCGGCUUCUUAAGUCGGAUGUGAAAUCCCUGAGCUUAACUUAGGAAUUGCAUUCGAUACUGGGAAGCUAGAGUAUGGGAGAGGAUGGUAGAAUUCCAGGUGUAGCGGUGAAAUGCGUAGAGAUCUGGAGGAAUACCGAUGGCGAAGGCAGCCAUCUGGCCUAAUACUGACGCUGAGGUACGAAAGCAUGGGGAGCAAACAGG